CUACGGGGGGCCUACGGGAGGCAGCAGUGGGGAAUAUUGCACAAUGGGCGAAAGCCUGAUGCAGCGACGCCGCGUGAGGGAUGACGGCCUUCGGGUUGUAAACCUCUUUCAGCAGGGAAGAAGCGAAAGUGACGGUACCUGCAGAAGAGCCCGU
rnacentral:rRNA from 1 species